rnacentral:rRNA from 1 species
CUGGCUCAGGAUGAACGCUGGCGGCGUGCUUAACACAUGCAAGUCGAACGGAGUAUUGACGCUGAACAAACGAUUAGCUUGCUAAAAGUGAGUUCUUGUUGAUACUUAGUGGCGGACGGGUGAGUAACGCGUGGGU